CCCUCCUACAAAGGCGUGUCUUUGGUUCCCAGUCUUUGUAGGAAAAGAAAUGUGGAUUUGGAGAAGUGUGGGGCCAGCUUGCUCCUCCAGGACUCCAAUCAAUCAUUCUACAUAG
ensembl:snoRNA